rnacentral:rRNA from 1 species
ACUCCUACGGGAGGCAGCAGUGGGGAAUAUUGCACAAUGGGCGCAAGCCUGAUGCAGCCAUGCCGCGUGCAUGAAGAAGGCCUUCGGGUUGUAAAGUACUUUCAGCGGGGAGGAAGGCGAUAAGGUUAAUAACCUUGUCGAUUGACGUUACCCGCAGAAGAAGCACCGGCUAACUCCGUGCCAGCAGCCGCGGUAAUACGGAGGGUGCAAGCGUUAAUCGGAAUUACUGGGCGUAAAGCGCACGCAGGCGGUCUGUCAAGUCGGAUGUGAAAUCCCCGGGCUCAACCUGGGAACUGCAUUCGAAACUGGCAGGCUAGAGUCUUGUAGAGGGGGGUAGAAUUCCAGGUGUAGCGGUGAAAUGCGUAGAGAUCUGGAGGAAUACCGGUGGCGAAGGCGGCCCCCUGGACAAAGACUGACGCUCAGGUGCGAAAGCGUGGGGAGCAAACAGGAUUAGAAACCCCAGUAGUCCCAUG